rnacentral:rRNA from 1 species
UGGGGAAUAUUGCACACUGGGCGAAAGCCUGAUGCAGCGACGCCGCGUGAGGGAUGACGGCCUUCGGGUUGUAAACCUCUUUCAGUAGGGACGAAGCGCAAGUGACGGUACCUGCAGAAGAAGCACCGGCUAACUACGUGCCAGCAGCCGCGGUAAUACGUAGGGUGCGAGCGUUGUCCGGAAUUACUGGGCGUAAAGAGCUCGUAGGCGGUUUGUCACGUCGUCUGUGAAAUCCUAGGGCUUAACCCUGGACGUGCAGGCGAUACGGGCUGACUUGAGUACUACAGGGGAGACUGGAAUUUCUGGUGUAGCGGUGGAAUGCACAGAUAUCAGGAAGAACACCGAUGGCGAAGGCAGGUCUCUGGGUAGUAACUGACGCUGAGGAGCGAAAGCAUGGGUAGCGAACAGG